AUUGAACGCUGGCGGCAUGCUUUACACAUGCAAGUCGAACGGAAACAGGCCGCACGUUGCUGACGAGUGGUGGCCGGGGGCGUAAUGCAUCGGAAUGUGCCCCGUCGCUGGGGGUAACUACUCGCAAGAGGAGACCAUAGCUCAUACGAGCUAAGGAUGAAAGCGGGGGACUGCAAGGGUGCGCGCUGUUUGUGCUGUCGCUGACAGAUUAGCUAGUUGGUGGGGUAAAGGCUCACCAAGCCAACGAUUUGUAGCGGGUCUGAGAGGACGACCAGCCACACUGGAACUGAGACACGGCCCAGACUCCUACGGGAGGCAGCAGUGGGGAAUUUUGGACAAUGGGCGCAAGCCUGAUCCAGCAAUGCCGCGUGCAGGAAGAAGGCCUUCGGGUUGUAAACUGCUUUUGUACGGGACGAAACAGCUCUGAUUAAUACCCGGAGGUAAUGACGGUACCGAAAGAAUAAGCACCGGCUAACUACGUG
rnacentral:rRNA from 1 species